UCGACGCCUUGCACCCGUGCCUCCCACCGGCCGUCGUGCCUUGCCUCCGCGCCGCCAUGCCCGCCGCCGCCACCACCACCACACCCGCCGGCCACCACCUCCACCACACCCUGGCCUCGACGUCGACGGAUCCGGGGUAGAGGGGGGAGUCCCCCUCGGAUCCGGGGAGAGGGGCGGGGCGGCGGCCGGAGAGAGGCCGCCGCGCGAGAGAGGGGAAGAGCGGAGGAGUGGAGGGAGUUACCUGGAGAGGGAGGCGAGGGAUCCGGCGCCACCACCACGAAGUCCGCGCUCACCGGAUCCGGGGAGGAGGGGCUGUGCGGUGGCCGGAUCCGGCCGGAUCCGGAGAAGAUGGGCGGGGCGGUGGCUGGAGAAAGGGAGAGGAGGGGCCGGGGCGGCAGCCGGAGAGGGAGGAGAGGCCGGCCGCGCUAGGCGAGGGAGAG
rnacentral:lncRNA from 1 species